GACGAACCGUGCGAACGUUGUUCGGAAUCACUGGGCUUAAAGGGUGCGUAGGCGGCUGCGUAAGUCGGGUGUGAAAUCCCUCGGCUCAACCGAGGAAUUGCGUCCGAUACUGCGUAGCUCGAGGAAGGUAGGGGCGCGUGGAACUUCCGGUGGAACGGUGAAAUGUAUUGAUAUCGGAAGGAACGCCGGUGGCGAAAGCGGCGCGCUGGGCCUUUUCUGACGCUGAGGCACGAAAGCUAGGGUAGCGAACGGG
rnacentral:rRNA from 1 species